AAUAAAUAUCGAUCAGAUAGGAUAAUGAACACCGUCGGAAGAUAGAAUAAUGGGCAUCUUUGCGACGUCGUUUUCUCCGCCGGUGGAAACCCUAGAAUUUUGCAGCGGCAGUAGUAACAGGAUCAAGGCUCCUUUAUUCUGUGACUUGUCAUAAAAGAGAAGCUUAAAAUAGACGAUAAAAUGGUGAGAUGAAGAUCAAAUUGUAGCCUCUUAAGUGUUCUGAUGCACAUGCAAAUGGUGUUACAAUAAUCCCGUUUACCCAAUAUCCGUUGAGUCCAACUCCUUAAUUGCACGGAACAAUAUGUAAGAUGGCGUUCAGUUACACAAGGUGUGAAAUCACUAUCUAUGCGUCAUUUUUUUUGAAGAGUGUAGGGGGCAUUCUUUCUUAAUAUUAGAAAGAUGCCUAGAAGCAGGAGAGAGAACCAUCAUCGGAGCAGGCCAAUGCAAAAGAUUCCAAACGUAUAAAGAGCUUCGACAGACAAUGGACAGGAACAAGGCCAAUAUAUAAUGGAAAGCAAGAUCAUUAUGGUUGCAUAUGGAAAUGGGCUCCUCAAUAGGGAUCAAGUGGAGAUGAAAAACUCUGCACAGGCUUGCUGAGUGAGGAGGAUAAUGCUGAGAAGCUCUCUGUGAAAGACAUGACACAGCUAGAACAAGAACUUGAUGCUGCUCACAUGCAAACACGAUUAAGAAAGACACAGCUAUAAUGAUGGAGUACAUAUCAACCCUUGAAGAAAAGGUAUGCUCUUCUGCACAUACUCUUGAGGUCCAUUACUUAAUUUUUUAGACAUGACUACAUGAGUAUGUUAUUAGACCCUUCUGGACGUGGACAGUCCGAAAAUAAAUGUAUCUGACAGCUAUCCCUAUUGGCUAUUAGCCGCUGCCACCCCCAACUAUCACUUGGACGCCCGUCACCCCCGACUUAACACUUAGUUUGUUCUCUCACCACGUCGUUAACGGAUCACUAACUUUUGAGCUUGUUACUGUACUUUUCGGGGUGUCCAAAGAUCCCUAUGACACCCCCAAAAGUAUAAAAACAGGAUCAAAAGUUAGUGAUCAGCUAACGACAAGUGUUAAGUUGGGGGUGACGGGCGUCAAAGUGAUAGUUGAGGGUGGCAGCGGCCAAUAGCCAAUAGUUGGGGGUGAUAAAUCCAAUAACCCUUUUUUUAAGGCUAAGGAAUGUUUGGCAAAGUUAGCUCUCUUGGAGCUGUUGCUUUAGCUGCAGUUGUCAUGAUACUAAAGUGUUUCGAAAAAGUAGUUGUAGAGGUAGGUGUACAAUAUAAAAUGACAUAAAAGAACAUGUUAGAUAACUGUGGAAGGGUAGAGUAGUUUUGCUUUUGAAAAUCCAACACUUACUUUUACCUCUAGUUUAAAUAGUUUGUUUUGUAGGAAGAAAUAGAAGCUAACGUUCUACACAAACAAAGCUUUGUUCUUAUAGUAAGUGCUUCUUUUCAGAAACUGCUCUGUUCCAAACAUACACACGCACAGUCAAACGGCAUGUCAGUCAUGCUAAUCUGGGGAGACUUGGCCCCAUUGCACCUUUGGUGCCACAUUCCUGUUGCAGCUUGCUACAUAGCCAGUUAGAUAGAAACAUAUAAAUCAUGUAGACAGAUUAAAGUUGUAGAAGUAUUAUGUAAAGCUGAGAUAGUAAACGUGUUUGGGAGUGUGUUAGCUGCAGCAAAAGAAAACUAGGGUGCUGUUUACAACUUUUUUUUUGAAAGGUCGCGAAUGUUGGGAGGUCUAGCAUACGUUGUCUUAACCAGGUUCGCGCUAGAGAGCCCCCUCGCACAAUAGAUCCCCGAUUUAAACCCCUCAAUGAGAAACCCCCUAUCACCCAUACUCGAACUUGAGACCUGGAGGGGAAAACUCACCCGGGCCCACCGUCGGUGGAACUUAAGUACCCGUGGCCACCACUAGAGCACUAGUGAUGGUUUGUUGUUAACAACUACAUCAUGGAAAACAUCCUUACAUCAUAGUUAUUAAAGGCGCGAAGCGCACUCUAGGCGCAUAGGCUCCGAUUAGGGCCUAGGCGAUAGGCGCAAAAAAAGCGUGGGCCCGAGAAAAAAAAGCGCACUUAAAUAAAAAAAUUAAAAAGUUCAUUAAGGGAAUAAAGUACUCAAAACCAAAACAAUAAUGUUCAUACUAGCACUUAAAGAGUCUCAGCACCAAAAUGCGAACUGAAUAAUUUGAUAAUUCGAACUGAAAAAUGUGAUAAUAAACUGAUAUCAUAUGUUUAAACUUAAAGCCCUAUAAAUACUGCGGAAAAAGUGGAAAUUACCAAUAAAAAAAAAUAAAAAGCAUAAAUCAUUAAUUACGCAUGGGAAGAAUUAAGCUGCGCUAUUAUUACCUAGGAACUAUAAGCGCAGUAAAUGCGAAUCGCCCAGAAAAAGCGCCUAGGUGCCAAAAGCGCUCGCUUUUGAUAACUCUGCCUUACAUUCAUCAUCAUCAUCAUACUCGGUAAAUCCCACCAAUAGCAAAGCUAAGGUAGGGUCUGAGGGGUAAGAUGUAGACAACCUUACCUCUGCCCCCGUAGGAAUGGAGAGGCUGCUUCCAGUGAAACCCCCGGCUCUAGGAAAACGUCCUUAUAUUGUUUGCAGCAUUUUCCUUUGAAAACAGGUUGUCUCUGAGAAAGCCCUGCCCUACAUACUUUCACGAUGCAGUUUUGUGAUUUAUUAGGCCGUCAACAUUUGAAAAAAUCACUUUAGUCCACUCACAGAAAAUGAGUUUCAUAUAUUUUGGAAUAACAGAUUGAUAUUGAUGUCUUGAUCGCUCACAAAGUUUCGGACAAAUUAAAAUAGAAAGGGUGACAUCAAUUAUCAAUGGAGUUAGUAACUCCAAUGAUAUACCACGGUUUGGACAUAACUUAUAAUCUUAUAUUAUUGGAGCUAUAUCCAAUCAUGAGUAUUAUGUUCAAUCCUUGCUCACCCAGGUAUGUAUUCAGUUAUUACGUAUCAAAUCGUAAUACUUACUAAUUAAAAAAUAGGUCAUUUUUAUCUUCUAAAAAAAUUAAAAAAAAAAAAAAAUUCAUCAUGUUUCGGGCCAAAAAUGGAACCAAAUACAUUGUUGGGUGUCCUUAAUGGGAAAUGUUGAAUACAUGGGUGACCUCAGCAUAUGCUAUCCUUUAUUCAUAUAUAAGCAACUUAUAUGAAGAUUUGUUGACCAAAAUUUGACCAACAUUACCUGUGUUUAAUGAUAACUUAAUUGCUUAUGGACUCCAGCUAGUUGAUUUAUUGUGUAUGCGGAGGUUAAUUGAUCCGGCUAGUUCCAAGGUCGUUAAAGACUUUCAUUUUGGUACCAUGAGACCAUAUCCCUCCAUCCUGUUCAAAAGCAUAAUGAUUAGAGCUUGGAUAAAUGCAAAUAAUACAACUCUAAUCUACUUUUGUAUAUGUGAGAACAGGAAAGUAAGCUAAACAAAUUUUUAGCCAGUUUGGAUUAGCAAUCUCAAAACUUGCUUAUUGUUUCAUCACAACACUAUACGGCCGGAGGGUAUGGAGGGCGCCACCUCACCUCCAAUAGCCCCCCACCCACACCCUGCAACUUAAACCGGGGCGCCAUGGGUUGUCCGCCACCAUGGUAACGAGGAAGAAGCUGUGUUCAGGUUGCAUCAGCAGAGGAGAAUGAUGUUUAUGAUGGAGGUGGGGCUCUUAACAACCUUGCAACUAACCAGAUCAAUUCACCUCAACUUACAACACUCGCUCUUUAUCUGUACUUGACAAUUCAAAGUAGCCAAUAAUCUAGAUAAAAACAUUGGAUUUUGUAAUCUUAAAACAGAUUCUUGUGUUUUAUCAAUUGGUGUUUGGAGAAAAUUUGGCCCAUUUUGAAGCUCU